rnacentral:rRNA from 1 species
GAUGAACGCUGGCGGCGUGCCUAAUACAUGCAAGUCGAGCGAAUGGAUUAAGAGCUUGCUCUUAUGAAGUUAGCGGCGGACGGGUGAGUAACACGUGGGUAACCUGCCCAUAGACUGGGAUAACUCCGGGAAACCGGGGCUAAUACCGGAUAAUAUUUUGAACUGCAUGGUUCAAAAUUGAAAGGCGGCUUCGGCUGUCACUUAUGGAUGGACCCGCGUCGCAUUAGCUAGUUGGUGAGGUAACGGCUCACCAAGGCAGCGAUGCGUAGCCGACCUGAGAGGGUGAUCGGCCACACUGGGACUGAGACACGGCCCAGACUCCUACGGGAGGCAGCAGUAGGGAAUCUUCCGCAAUGGACGAAAGUCUGACGGAGCAACGCCGCGUGAGUGAUGAAGGCUUUCGGGUCGUAAAACUCUGUUGUUAGGGAAGAACAAGUGCUAGUUGAAUAAGCUGGCACCUUGACGGUACCUAACCAGAAAGCCACGGCUAACUACGUGCCAGCCGCCGCCGUAA